CAAACAAAAAGCGCCCCCCCCAACAACAACAAAAAUCACAUUUUACCACAUUAAAAAGAAAGCGAAACAAAACCCUCAACCUUUCAGUGAGUUUUUGGCUACAUCCCACUGCUGCCACCGGCAGCAUCCCCGUCCCCGGGGACGCACCCAGCCUUCAUCCCAAGCGACAGCACGGACCGGACGCACGCCGAAGGGAGGAGGCACAGAAGCACAGCGGGCGGUGGAGACAAGCGGGGAAGGAAAGCGUGAGCGUCCCCGGCGAGCAGGAGAGGGAGCGGAGGACGUCUGCUGGCUGCUCCCCACGGGACCGCGGGGAGGGCCACGGCUCCGGGCACAAAACCACGACACAAAGCGGACUGAAGCCACGCGCUGGGGAGGCUGACGGGACGCAGAGUGUUUUCCAGCAGCCUACACGAGAGCACGGACUCCACGCCGUCCACUGGCCGCUGGAAGCGAAAGAGAUGCCAUCCAGAGCGAAGUCAGAGGCGCGUGAAGUGGCCUGCUUCCACUCCAGGGGUGCAGCAACGGGGGGCGAAGGCAGACGCCAGCAUUAACAAACCGCAGCGCCGGGCUUUCUGAACUCCAUCCCAGGAGAGGGAGCCUGCUGCCAGUGAUAGCAAAGAAUCUGCCCAGCCCCGUCAAAGAAGGACAAGGUGGAAAACGUCAUCUUCAGAAGCCACACACAGAAAUCCCUCCGUUCUAAUCUUGUCAUGGGGAAACAGAUCUUAUCUUGGCCGUUUUCCCCCUCAGUGAUCGACGACUGUACGAAAGCAGCCCUGUUCUCCCACGAGUGAGGUGUGGCCAGAAGGGAGAAGAGACAACAGUUUGACGAGUAUUACAGGACUGAAUAUCUGGGAGCGCUGCUCUCAGUUAAGUGGCUGUUGCUCUAAUUCCCACAUCGUGCUUCAGUAAGAGGAUGACGAUCGCCUCAGAAAUGCCUGGAGAAGAGAGAGAGCCACCGAGCGUUGACCUGUUUGCUUCUUUCCUGAUCAGGACACAACACUCAAUCUGAGGUCGACUGAUGGCACUGCAGAGCAAUAGCUACUGCCGAGCUUCAGCGCUGAUGUUUCUCGGUAAUUCAAGCACCACAUGCACUGGCAAGAGAGCAUCCUUCCAAAAGCUGUGCUGGGGAAAGGUCUUCCUUGCCUUGACAGCUUAAAUCCACAUCAAAAAAAGUCAGAGCAAGCAGAUUAUGUUGAGUCACCUUCUGCCCUGCCCAUCAGUAAAGAAACUAUGUACUAGCAGCUGAAAUCCAGCACUGAAGGUGGGAAAUAAAGUCUAGCGCAAGUAAAAAAACCCUGUUCAUUCACACCACCAAGCCAACUCAUCCCCGAGGCUCAAGCACCGCAACCCAAAUGAAGAAAAAUAGCAACGACGCUACCUCCAACCGAGCCGCACGGCCGAGAAACAAAAAGCAUAAAGAUGUAAAAAUGGUUUGGUGUAAAAAGAGGAAGGAAGAUAAGUCAGAGAUGAUAAGAAAUGAGUAAAAAUAAAGUUUAAAAACAACUGAUACACACAGAGCAGCUCUACCUUCUCCCUCCUCUGGACGUGCCAUAAAAUAGGUGACAACUUCUAAAGCGAUGCGUUUCUCUCUCCUUAAGUUCGUAAGCAGCUCUCCAUCCAAUGCAAGGCUUUAAGGGAAGAACCGCACGCUUUCCUGUCUGCGGGACCCACCAGGGAGGCACGUGGCUCGCUGGGCUACCAAGGACCGCUACCAGCACAAGAGCGGGGACGAGUUCAAAGACUGAUACCGAUUUCUAGGUUCAGCACCUACCAGAGAGGACAUGUUCACACUGCUUCACAUGAGCAUAUAAAUCCAUAUGUCCACCACAUGUACCCCAAAAACCUUUCAAGCAUUUUUUUUUUGGUCUUUUUUUCCUUCAAGUAACCUGACUCUGGUCACCAAUGUAUCAGAUAAAGUGCGCUGCAGGAGCAUUGAAAAGCUACUCUGACCUCCGUCUGCUUCAAGGCACUUUAAAACACAGCUCGAGGACAAGGGGUUUUUUAAUUAUUCGCAAUAUAUAGCCCAUUCUCUUCCGAGCGAAGCUGUGUGGUCUGAACCACGCUGUGACUCCUGCUCACCUGAAAGGCAGCACUGGCUGUUGCACUGACUCGCUCCUUGCUGCAAGCAUCAAGCCCUCUCUCAGGAUUUAGCACCAGAGAACGCUGAACCACCCAAGCCACUCCAAACCCGCUGCUUUUACUCUUUCAGCACUUUCACCCCCCAAACAAGUGACCUAGUUCAUACAAACUCGCUGUGCAAUCCGUAACGCCCAUCUCUCCAGAGAUUGUCAUUAUUUACACCAAGCUUUUUAUUUCUUUCAGCUCCAAGCUGGGGUUUUUUUUUUAACCACUUCUCUUGAGCUAAAUGUCCUUGUAAAAACAACACAAAAUCCAGGACACGGCUAAGUUCUGAACAACUCUGGCAGAGACCUUUCAGCACAUCUUCUUUGUCAUCCAGAAAUGAAGCACUUUGCAUCUUUAAUGAAAAAAUGCUGGUUGCUAAACCAAACCUGUUGUGGCCAUCACCACUCCGCCCGGUCUUCCGAGGGUUUUCAGCCAGCAAGUGCCUAUAUUCCUGUUUGAUGUUACCACAGGAUUUGGAACAGGCCAGUAGCUAAAAAAACAAAACACCAAACCAAAAAACUACACACACAUAGAGAACACCGCCCCCAUCUAUCAUCUUUCCUAUUGAGAAAUAACCCGAAACUUCAUUAUUACAUACAUAUUAUAAUAACUGUUAUUACUACAUCUGUAUUACAGCAUUAGCAGCCAUUACAACUUCUUACGUGCAAGGUUGUUACGAACGGACGGCUGCUUUUGAGACUGAAAAAAUGUCAUUAAAUUUACCUUAAUGGGGUUCUGAUAUAUACUAGAAACAUUAAAAGGCUGACUUUAAAAAUCUAUCAAGUAUUUAUUAAAAUAACUUCCAGAAAUGCCAGGUUAAGUGCUGAGGUGUAUCAAAGGGUGGUUCUGGAGUACUGAUGUACUCAUCAGCUCCCACAAUUAGGUUUCCAGAGAGGAAUGCUGUGUCAUACGAUGUGUGACUCACGGAGUAAUGUCCAGAGGAAACCACGCUUCUCCUUCCUUUCCUAUAAAAAGCUCAACCUGCUUUAAGUUGACCGGCGUUACCUGAACAAACUCUCUCCUCCAACAAAGGAGCUAAUUUCAGCAUUGCUUGCUUGAGCACGUCUGCAAGGACGAAGGUGUAUUUUAAGUUGCUUCUGAAGAGGUUGAUCACACAACCUGCCAGCAGACCAGGGCCUCUGGAAACUCAGCUGAAAACAUCCCCUGCUCCUCCUUCAGAAGCGAAUUAAGAAAUACGCGGUAUUGUUGUAUUUGAACACGUGUUUGUACUUGGACCUCGCAUCGGUUUCGCAACCUCGCGACACUUUGGCCGGCUGACCUGUUCCUGGGCAGCUCCCAGCUCACGCCCCUUCUGCAUCUGACCCCACGCAGUCACGGCACUCCACCACGCUGCAACAGCUCCGAGGGAUCGCACGCGCCCGUGCAGUGUGUGCGCCCUGCACCCCGGGCACUUGCCGCGACCGAGAACAGUAAAAAGGGUGGCAGAAACACCAGUGGGAUCCCCACACAUCCUGGAGGUCCGCCAGGACAUGGGACCUUUUGC